GACGAACGCUGGCGGCGUGCCUAAUACAUGCAAGUCGAGCGAGACUCUUCGGAGUCUAGCGGCGGACGGGUGAGUAACACGUGGGCAACCUGCCUGUAAGACUGGGAUAACACCGGGAAACCGGUGCUAAUACCGGAUAAUCCUUUUCCUCUCAUGAGGAAAAGCUGAAAGUCGGUUUCGGCUGACACUUACAUACGGCCCAGGGGCGAAUUAGCUAGUUGGUGAGGUAACGGCUCACCAAGGCGACGAUGCGUAGCCGACCUGAGAGGGUGAGCGGCCACACUGGGACUGAGAAACGGCCCAGACUCCUACGGGAGGCAGCAGUAGGGAAUCUUCCACAAUGGACGAAAGUCUGAUAGAGCAACGCCGCGUGAGCGAUGAAGGCCUUCGGGUCGUAAAGCUCUGUUGUUAGGGAAGAACAAGUAUCGGAGUAACUGCCGGUACCUUGACGGUACCUAACCAGAAAGCCACGGCUAACUACGUGCCAGCAGCCGCCGUAAUAC
rnacentral:rRNA from 1 species